UGGGGCCAUUGGUUUUAGCUUGUUGGCUCUAACAAGACAAGUGCCUGUCAGCCCAUGGUAGGGAUUCCAAGGACAGUAGCAAAAACACUUUUCGUGGGCCACAUCAUUGUGUGGGUCAGGGAAAGUGACCCCAGGCCAGUGCAUGCUUCCCAGCUGUCUUUACUGAGUCAGCCAGCCAUGACACCUGUGCAGUCUUGAUUCUAUCAUUGGCCAUCUGUGUGAGCAUGCACUACGAGGCUCCAGUUUCUUUAUCUGUCAGGUGUGAAUAGCUAUGCCCACCCUUUUGUCUUUUGAGGUUAUGGUAAGUUCUGGAGUAGCGAAAGAUCAGGCCGUUCUUUUUAAAGAAAUGUUUUCCUGCCAGACACCAGAGUCUGAGUCAGGCACCAAGCUGCCUCUCCUCCCAGUUAGUAUGUUCACCUACAAAGAAAGUGAUUUAGAGUAGCUGAAGAUGAAAGGAUAUGGCUGACCCCAAGUGUGUGCUGGCAUAUAUGUAUGUAUUCAUGUAUGGAUCUUAGCAACAGAGUUCACUUUCUCUACAGUGGCAAAAUAACACUAAUAUGGGCCAGUGUAUUAUCUGGAAUGUCCCCAUUGUUUAGAACUAAGGGUGAAACUGUCUUAUGAAAUAGAUUUGUACAUGGCUGUUUGGUCCCACUUUGGAGAAGCCAUCAACAGCAGAGCUUAGAAAACACAAGCUUUCUUUUCAUCAGGCAGAUAGCCCUUUGGAUGGUCCAAUGACUUCACUAGAACCUGGUAUUAGGAAGUCCAGGCACACUCCCACUCACCCAGGUGUGGACCAAUGGUCUGGAGGAACCUGGAUAGAUCACACAGCUCCUCAUGCCAGUCUGCAUGGAAAUGUCUCAGCGACAUUCGACUGCUGGGGAGUUGUGGAGCCAAUUUCACAAAGCAAAGGCUUUGUACUUUUCUAAGAAAGUAUUUUAGUCUUCAUUUUCUCUAAUUCUCCUCCCCUGACAAAUGAAACACAAAAUUAUGUUACAAAUGCAGACCCUAAUGGUAAUUUGUUUUCGCUUUUUAUUUAUAAUACCUAAGUUAUUCCUUAAAAAUAUCAAGUUGAACACAAUUGGUUUUGGUGAUAAGAUAUUCAACAUUGUUUUUAAAUUCUUUCUUAUAUGGUAAAUGUAUAUCCAGAUUAAUGUAUCAAAAUUUACCGCAUAAACUAUAAAAUCAUUUUCAAAAUCUCAAUUCCACAAAUAAAGUUCUAUUCUAAUUUAAAAAAAAUAAGGAGACCCAGAAGCCAGGGAGAAUCCUCACCAUUUGCUUUUUCUCUCAUAUCUUGAAGUCUUGUCUCACCCUUUGGUUUUGUCUAUUAACCUCAGACCAUCACGAUGAGACCUUAUUUAAAGGAGCCACAAAUGCAGACAGCCAUUUCCCCUAAGUUCUUCUUUUGUUUUCAGGAUAAUAAAUAUGUAAUUAUUCUAUCAGCCUUCCCACCUCACUGGAAGUGUAAUGAACAGGCAGGGGGCUCUUUACUGCUAAGUCAGGAUCCAGGAUCAGCAUCUUCAACAGGGCUCUACAAGGUAAUUCUAAAAUAUAGUUGCUCCUACUUGGCGAUGAAACCCCAUUGGCCAUCCUUCGUAACCAUUCUGAGCAGCCAAGAGGUACCAAUGCUGUAAAAUGCAAAAGACCAAACUUUUUCCAAGUCUGCUUUUUACAAGAGAAGUGGCUAGCUGACUGACCUGCUCUGAAUAACCCUAGCAACCAGAGACCUACCACCCAUCAAUGUAAUCUGUCUUGUUCCCUGUCAUGUGGAGUUGGGUCCAGCCAGAUUAAAUUUAGCCUCUGGAGGCCACUUGAACUCUGGUCAGUGGUACAGACACAGAAUACUAUAAGUGAGUGAGCUCCAUACAUCAGCUUUCUGGAAAGGGCACCAGCAGCUGAAGAGAGAGAAGGAAAACGGGAGGACCUGUAGAGGUGAGAGCUGGGCUGCAAAACACACUGUGAUUCAGGCAGAAGUCACGGAAGCUGCUCUGAGUCACUUACCACAGCUUCCUCCUUUGACAGCACUAUGCCCUUUCACCUGGGUACACACUGCUAACCACAGACCCUGGGCUUCAUGGAACAGUGUGGUUUUCAGAGGGCCUUCUCUGGGUUGUGUUUGAACUCUACAUCACCCUGGAAGAUAGGGAGGCUGCACAGACAUCGCUAGUCCUGGUUUUACAACUGUGUUGGUGCUUGCCUGUCCAAAAGCCCUUCACUGUAAAGGCCCUACACAGCUAAUACCUGAAGAAUUCAGGUGAAAAGAAUAGCAAGGCAUGGGUAUUCUGGAACAUUCCCUUGUGAUCUCUCGUGGACCCAUCUCAAAUGUACCAAUUCUCCACGACUUAUCUGUAGAGUUAACUCACAGCUGAUAGGUGAGCCAGUGUUACAAAACAGAUGGCAAGGGUGCUUUCCACCAGGAAGAAUCCGAAUCAUUCAGUGAGUGAUGGAAGUCUCAGGGUCAAGGUCUCGUUCAGAGACAGCCAGCAUCAUAUAGCAAACUGAGGUGCCAUUUGGGGCCCCUGCCAUUGAAGAAGACUUGCUGUUUAUUUCUAGGAUAGCUGCUGACCUUGCUGCAAAUAUGGGCUGUCUCCUUGUGCUUCGUGAUAAAGCUCUACUGGUGACUGUUUCUGUCUGUGUGGGCAAUGUUCUACAUCACUACUAGUUACAUCCUCUUCAGAGCUACCUGGAAACCACUUUCAGGGCAAACACCACGAGCCCUCAUCCAGUGGCUGAUGGAAGCAGAGACAGACAUCCACAGAAAUACACUGAGCUGAAAUCUGGAAUUUAGUUGAAGAGAGGGAAGAAUGAAGAACGAAGGGGUCUGUACCAGGUUGGAGAAACCCACAGAAACAGUUGGCCUGAACAAGGGAGAGCACAUCGACCCCAGAUGCUAUCUGGGAGGCCAGAACAAGACUGAUCCAGACCCCUGAACAAGGAUGCCAAUAAGGAGGCCUCUGCACUCCAGGGAGCCUCUGGAAGUGGAUUAGCAUUUUCCCCUGGUGUAAGAAGCGACUUUGAGAGCCCAUCCCACGUGAAGGGAUACACUCUGGCCCUGGACACAUGGGGAAGGGCCCAGGCCCAGCACAGGAAGAUUUGGUGGACUUUGCAGAGCCCCCGUUGAGGGCCCUACCCUGCCUGGGGAGUGGUGGGUGG
ensembl:lncRNA